CGCGUAGGCGGAUGUUACAGUCAGGCGUGAAAUUCCUGGGCUCAACCUGGGGGCUGCGUUUGAUACGUGAUGUCUGGAGUUCGGAGGAGGGUCGUGGAAUUCCCAGUGUAGAGGUGAAAUUCGUAGAUAUUGGGAAGAACACCGGUGGCGAAGGCGGCGACCUGGUCCGAUACUGACGCUGAGGCGCGAAAGCGUGGGGAGCAAACAGGAUUAGAUACCCUGGUAGUCCACGCUGUAAACGAUGUGCGCUGGAUGUUGGGUGACAUAGUCAUUCAGUGUCGUAGCUAACGCGAUAAGCGCACCGCCUGGGGAGUACGGCCGCAAGGUUGAA
rnacentral:rRNA from 1 species